UCUUCAAUCACUGUGUCUUGAGGAUCUGGGUCGUAAUGAAUUUCGGUUGCAGAGGUAACAGUGCUCAAAGUUGUAUGUUCGAUUUGGGUUUGAACGUUCUUAGCAAGAUCCAUAUUAGCUGCUAUCCAGGGCAUAAGAUAAAUAGUUAAAGAAGGGGUCUUAAUAUUUUUAGCGACAUUCAAAAUUUCUUUCAAACGAGGAACACCCAAGGUAACGUUCUUAGAAGAAACACCAGCGUAAUGGAAUGUAUUGAGUGUCAUUUGAGUUGCUGGUUCUCCAAUAGAUUGUGCAGCCAGAGUACCCACCAUUUCUCCAGGACUUACGACAGCUUGUUGGAAACGAGCUUCCACUUCACCCAUAAUCCAUUCAAAUGCGACUUUGUUAAGUCGGUAUUCCAUUAUUACCCGUUUUACAGCAAAUUUGGACCUUAAUAAAAUCUGGAAUAACAAGGUAGCGUUGUUUUGAACAUCACGAGUAAUACGGUCACUUCCGCGGAAAAUUGUUAAUU